UAGCACAAAUAAUACCACCUCAGGCUGUGAUCCCAACAGAUCUCACAAGCUAAGUAAGGUCAGGCCCUGUCAGUAUUUGAAUUAAAGCUCUCUGAAGACAAUUCACUGUGCAGCAGGAAAUGGUGUGGA
ensembl:rRNA 5S_rRNA 5S ribosomal RNA